UUAAUUGCAUCUUCCUCUUUCAAGCUUAUAAAAGUUAGGUAUAUUUUAGUUGAUUCCAUCAUUUUUUAUACUACUAAUAAUAAUUUUCAUUUUCUUUGCUUUUAAUUCUAACUUGCUUUCAGUUAACUUCCAUUUAGUAAAAUCAUGAAUUUUAUGUAUCUAUGCUUAGUAGUAUUUUUACAUAAGGCAAUUAGGUAGUUAUUUACCAAUAUUUUUAUGGUAUGACUGUGUCCCCACCUGAAUCUCAUCUUGAAUUUUAGCUCCCAUAAAUCCCACAAGUGGGAGGGAGCCAAUGGGAGAUAAUUGAAUUACAGAGGCAGUUUCCCCUAUAGUAUUCUCAUGGUGGUGAAUAAGUCUCAGGAGAUUUGAUGGAUUUAUAACGGGGUUUCCCUUUCACUUGUUUUUUAUUCUCUCUAGUCUGCCACCACAUAAGAGGUACAUUUUGCCUUCUGCCAUGAUUGUGAGGCCUUCUCAGCCAUGUGGAACUGUGAGUCCAUUAAACCUCUUUUUCUUUAUAAAUUACCCAGUUUCAGUAAUUUAUAAUGAAAUUAUCAGCAGCAUGAAAAUUGACUCAUAUAAAUAUGAUACUUCUUUUCUCUUUAGAAUAAAAUUGAAUAAGGAGGUCAGUGAAACACUUGUAAUUACAACAAACAUUCAGCUUCAAGAAAAGUGUACACCAAAGUGAAAUUAAUGGCACUGUAAGGAUUUUAGACUGCUAUAAUGGGAAUUCCAUCUUUAAAAGAAAUGAUGUUAAAUGGAGCUAAUAUAAGUACCACAGACUAAUAUUAUGUGUGUAUGUGUAUGCAGAUACAGGUAUGUGUGUUUUCCCC
rnacentral:lncRNA from 1 species